rnacentral:lncRNA from 10 species
AAGGGGCAAUAGUUACUAAUACUGAGAUGAAGGAGACCAGAGGUGAGAAUGUUGACCGAAGAUUCAAAUGUCAGGUUGGAAGGUGAAUUUGAAGAAGCAAAGAAAAGAGGCAAGAACACAAGAACAGAGGAGAAAGUCCUGUAACAGUCCCACACUUCAUUUACAACCACAGUGGCACUGUUGAGCAGUGAGUAAAGAUGGAGUCUUGUUCCGUCGCCCAGGCUGGAGUGCAGUGGCGUUAUCUCGGCUCACUGCAACCUCCGCCUCCCAGGUUCAAGCGAUCCUCCUGCCUCAGCCUCCCGAGUAGCAGGGACUACAAGCGUGUACCACCACGCCCAGUUAGUUUUUGUAUUUUUAGUAGAGACGGAGUUUCACCAUGUUGGCCAGGAAGUGAAAACAUUGGGAAAUAGUUGAAUUCUGUAUUUCAAAGGAAGAAUAAACAGGAUUUGCUGAUGGACUG